rnacentral:rRNA from 1 species
UCAGUGGCGAACGGGUGAGUAACACGUGAGUAACCUGCCCUUGACUCUGGGAUAAGCGUUGGAAACGACGUCUAAUACCGGAUAUGAACCGCGAAGGCAUCUUCUGCGGUUGGAAAGAAUUUUGGUCAAGGAUGGACUCGCGGCCUAUCAGCUAGUUGGUGAGGUAACGGCCCACCAAGGCGACGACGGGUAGCCGGCCUGAGAGGGUGACCGGCCACACUGGGACUGAGACACGGCCCAGACUCCUACGGGAGGCAGCAGUGGGGAAUAUUGCACAAUGGGCGAAAGCCUGAUGCAGCAACGCCGCGUGAGGGACGACGGCCUUCGGGUUGUAAACCUCUUUUAGCAGGGAAGAAGCGAAAGUGACGGUACCUGCAGAAAAAGCACCGGCUAACUACGUGCCAGCAGCCGCGGUAAUACGUAGGGUGCAAGCGUUGUCCGGAAUUAUUGGGCGUAAAGAGCUCGUAGGCGGUUUGUCGCGUCUGCUGUGAAAACGCGAGGCUCAACCUCGCGCCUGCAGUGGGUACGGGCAGACUAGAGUGCGGUAGGGGAGAUUGGAAUUCCUGGUGUAGCGGUGGAAUGCGCAGAUAUCAGGAGGAACACCGAUGGCGAAGGCAGAU